GACGAACGCUGGCGGCGUGGAUCAGGCAUGCAAGUCGAACGCGAAAGGAGGGGCAACCCUCUGAGUAGAGUGGCGAACAGGUGAGUAACGCGUGGGAAACCUGCCCUCGAGUUGGGGACAACCUCUCCAACGAGUGGCUAAUACCGAAUGCGGUCACCGAGGGGCAUCCCCUGGUGACCAAAGGCGGGGACCCGAAAGGGCCUGCCGCUCGAGGAUGGUCCCGCGUCCCAUUAGCUAGUUGGAGGGUAACGGCCUACCAAGGCAACGAUGGGUAGCUGGUCUGAGAGGACGACCAGCCACACUGGGACUGAGAUACGGCCCAGACUCCUUCGGGAGGCAGCAGUCGAGAGGCUUCGGCAAUGGGGGAAACCCUGACCGAGCGACGCCGUGUGGGGAUGAAGGCCUUUGGGUUGUAAACCCCUGUCAAGCGGGACGAAACGCCCUGAGAUGAAUAGUCGAGGGGCGUUGACGGUACCGCCAGAGGAAGCUCCGGCUAACUCCGUGCCAGCCGCCGCCGU
rnacentral:rRNA from 1 species